ACGGGAGGCAGCAGUGGGGAAUAUUGGGCAAUGGGCGAAAGCCUGACCCAGCAACGCCGCGUGAAGGAAGAAGGUCUUCGGGUCGUAAACUUCUAUCCUUGGUGAGAAUAGUGAUGGUAGCCAAGAAGGAAGCCCCGGCUAACUACGUGCCAGCAGCCGCGGUAAUACGUAGGGGGCAAGCGUUGUCCGGAAUGAUUGGGCGUAAAGGGCGCGUAGGCGGCCUGGUAAGUCUGGAGUGAAACCCCCGCUUUUAAGGCGGGACCUGCUUUGGAUACUGCUGGGCUUGAGUGCAGGAGAGGUAAGCGGAAUUCCCGGUGUAGCGGUGAAAUGCGUAGAGAUCGGGAGGAACACCAGUAGCGAAGGCGGCUUACUGGACUGUUACUGACGCUGAGGCGCGAAAGUGUGGGGAGCAAACAGGAUUAGAUACCCUGGUA
rnacentral:rRNA from 1 species